rnacentral:rRNA from 1 species
GGAGUCUGGGCCGUGUCUCAGUCCCAAUGUGGCCGUCCACCCUCUCAGGCCGGCUACCGAUCGUCGCCUUGGUGGGCCGUCGCCCCGCCAACAAGCUAAUCGGACGCGGGCCCAUCGGAGAGCGGAUCGUUAAAUCCUUUGGUGCUGAAAGCAUGCGCUUUCCGCACGUCAUUCGGUAUUAGCAUUCCUUUCGAAAUGUUGUCCCCAUCUGAAGGGCAGGUUGCCUACGCGUUACUCACCCGUUUGCCACUAGGCUAGGAAGAGCAAGCUCCUCUUCGCCCCGUUCGACUUGCAUGUGUUAAGCACGCCGCCAGCGUUCGUCCUCGAGCCAUGAUCAAACUACU